rnacentral:rRNA from 1 species
AUUGAACGCUGGCGGUAGGCCUAACACAUGCAAGUCGAACGCGAAAGUCCUUCGGGAUGAGUAGAGUGGCGGACGGGUGAGUAACGCGUAGGAAUCUAUCCUGUAGUGGGGGAGUAACGUUUCGAAAGGAACGCUAAUACCGCAUACGCCCCAAGGGGGAAAGCGGGGGAGUCUUCGGACCUCGUGCUAUAGGAGGAGCCUGCGUCGGAUUAGCUAGUUGGUGAGGUAAAGGCUCACCAAGGCGACGAUCCGUAGCUGGUCUGAGAGGAUGAUCAGCCACACUGGGACUGAGACACGGCCCAGACUCCUACGGGAGGCAGCAGUGGGGAAUAUUGGACAAUGGGCGCAAGCCUGAUCCAGCCACGCCGCGUGAGUGAUGAAGGCCUUCGGGUCGUAAAGCUCUGUGGGGAGGGACGAACCGCUUUGGUAAUAGCCAGAAGCAUGACGGUACCUCCUUAGCAAGCACCGGCUAACUACGUGCCAGCAGCCGCGGUAA